AUUGAACGCUGGCGGCAUGCCUUACACAUGCAAGUCGAGCGCGAAAGGGGGCAACCCCGAGUAGAGCGGCGGACGGGUGAGUAACACAUCGGAACGUGCCCAGUAGUGGGGGACAACCUCGAGAAAUCGAGGCUAAUACCGCAUACGACCCACGGGUGAAAGCGGGGGACCGCAAGGCCUCGCGCUAUUGGAGCGGCCGAUGUCCGAUUAGCUAGUUGGCGGGGUAAGAGCCCACCAAGGCGACGAUCGGUAGCUGGUCUGAGAGGACGACCAGCCACACUGGGACUGAGACACGGCCCAGACUCCUACGGGAGGCAGCAGUGGGGAAUUUUGGACAAUGGGGGCAACCCUGAUCCAGCCAUGCCGCGUGUGUGAAGAAGGCC
rnacentral:rRNA from 1 species